UACGUAGGAUCCGAGCGUUAUCCGGAUUUAUUGGGUUUAAAGGGUGCGUAGGCGGUUUGAUAAGUUAGAGGUGAAAUGUCGGGGCUCAACCCCGAAACUGCCUCUAAUACUGUUGGACUAGAGAAUAGUUGCGGUAGGCGGAACGUAUGGUGUAGCGGUGAAAUGCUUAGAGAUCAUACAGAACACCGAUUGCGAAGGCAGCUUACCAAACUAUAUCUGACGUUGAGGCACGAAAGCGUGGGUAGCAAACAGG
rnacentral:rRNA from 1 species